GAUGACAAUAGCAAGUAGGUACCACCUGAUCCCAUCUCGAACUCAGAAGUGAAACUGCUUAGCGCCGAUGGUAGUGUGGGGGUUCCCAUGUGAGAGUAGGACAUUG
rnacentral:rRNA from 1 species